CCUACGGGAGGCUGCAGUGGGGAAUAUUGCACAAUGGGCGCAAGCCUGAUGCAGCGACGCCGCGUGCGGGAUGGAGGCCUUCGGGUUGUAAACCGUUUUUGUUCAAGGGCAAGGCACGGUCUUUGGCCGUGUUGAGUGGAUUGUUUGAAUAAGCACCGGCUAACUACUUGCCAGCAGCCGCGGUAAUACGUAGGGUGCAAGCGUUAUCCGGAUUUAUUGGGGGUUAAGGGCUCGUAGGCGGUUCGUUGCGUCUGGUGUGAAAGGCCAUCGCUUAACGGUGGAUCCGCGCCGGGUACGGGCGGGCUUGAGUGCGGUAGAGGUGAGCGGAAUUCCCGGUGUAACGGUGGAAUGUGUAGAUAUCGGGAAGAACACCAAUGGCGAAGGCAGGUCUCUGGGCCGUUACUGACGCUGAGGAGCGAAAGCGUGGGGAGCGAACAGGAUUAGAUACCCUAGUAGUC
rnacentral:rRNA from 1 species